ACUGGAAGCUGCAGAACCAACCAUGUAGACAAAGGAGAAAGUGUCUUUGUCUGCAGAAGGCAGCCGUCCUACAUGAACAUGGAGGUCUCUGUCUGACUUAGGAUAGCUGGUUAAGUCUGAUCGUUCGCCUCCAUACAAC